rnacentral:tRNA from 1 species
UCCCUUAUAGCUUAAGGGCAAAGCGCUUGAUUUGUAAUCAAGAAACAAAGGUUCAACUCCUUUUAGGGGAA